rnacentral:tRNA from 1 species
GUCACUUUGGCGGAGUGGUUAACGCGGUGGCCCUGCUAAGCCAUUUCCCUUUGGGAGCGCAGGUUCGAGUCCCUGCAGGUGACG